rnacentral:lncRNA from 1 species
UGCUGCAAGUUUGGCAAAUAGACACCGUACCCGUUUUUCUGUGUAAACAUAGUUAGCACCUCUGUUUUUGAAGUAGUUCCUUACUUACCUCUGUUUUUGAAGUAGUUCCUUACUUACCUCUGUGUAAACUGAAUUUGGUUCAGUUAAAAAACUGCACUACCUGACAGUUUUGGGCAGCGAGCUUCUAACUGAAAAACGAGUUCGUUAUGCUCAUAAUUUCAAGUUGGCCUCUACAUAUGAGUUGUAAAGCAUGUUCUAAGGUUUCCGUAGAGUACUUAUUUGCUUUGUUUGGAUGUACGGUUUGAG